AGUGAACGCUGGCGGCAGGCCUAAUACAUGCAAGUCGAACGGCAGCACAGCAGAGCUUGCUCUGUGGGUGGCGAGUGGCGGACGGGUGAGGAAUACAUGGGAAUCUGCCCAGUCGUGGGGGAUAACGUAUGGAAACGUACGCUAAUACCGCAUGCGCCCUAAGGGGGAAAGCCGGGGACCGCAAGGCCUGGCGCGAUUGGAUGAGCCCAUGUUCGAUUAGCUAGUUGGCGGGGUAAAGGCCCACCAAGGCGACGAUCGAUAGCUGGUCUGAGAGGAUGAUCAGCCACACUGGAACUGAGACACGGUCCAGACUCCUACGGGAGGCAGCAGUAGGGAAUAUUGGACAAUGGGGGCAACCCUGAUCCAGCCAUGCCGCGUGAGUGAAGAAGGCCCUCGGGUUGUAAAGCUCUUUUGUCCGGAAGAAAGCAAUCGGUUAAUACCCGGUUGUUCUGACGGUACCGGAAGAAUAAGCACCGGCUA
rnacentral:rRNA from 1 species